rnacentral:sRNA from 1 species
GCUUUAUCCUUCCUUGGAUGUCUGAAACCGAUGAAUGUUUUAAUUCUCGUUUUUAUGUUUUUGUCUGUAAGAAAGAUCAAUGAUGAUAAACUUAAGGCUUGUUUCUCAAAACAUUCGCAGUGGCCGCCUAAAGCUUUCG